AGCAUCCUGUCACCAGGUAGCUGCCUUCUGUACCCCCCAUUGUAACACGUGUGUAGCCCCGGACGUAAGGGCCGUGCUGAUUUGACGUCAUCCCCACCUUCCUCACAUCUUACGACGGCAGUCUCUCCAGAGUCCUCAGCAUGACCUGUUAGUAACUGAAGAUAAGGGUUGCGCUCGUUAUGGCACUUAAGCCGACACCUCACGGCACGAGCUGACGACAACCAUGCAGCACCUUCACAAAUGCCUUGCGGCUAACCUGUUUCCAGAUUAUUCAUUUGCAAUUUAAGCCCGGGUAAGGUUCCUCGCGUAUCAUCGAAUUAAACCACAUGUUCCUCCGCUUGUGCGGGCCCCCGUCAAUUCCUUUGAGUUUCACCGUUGCCGGCGUACUCCCCAGGUGGAAUACUUAAUGCUUUCGCUUGGCCGCUUACUGUAUAUCGCAAACAGCGAGUAUUCAUCGUUUACUGUGUGGACUACCAGGGUAUCUAAUCCUGUUUGAUACCCACACUUUCGAGCAUCAGUGUCAGUUGCAGUCCAGUGAGCUGCCUUCGCAAUCGGAGUUCUUCGUGAUAUCUAAGCAUUUCACCGCUACACCACGAAUUCCGCCCACCUCUACUGUACUCAAGACAGCCAGUAUCAACUGCAAUUUUACGGUUGAGCCGCAAACUUUCACAACUGACUUAACUGUCCACCUACGCUCCCUUUAAACCCAAUAAAUCCGGAUAACGCUCGGAUCCUCCGUAUUACCGCGGCUGCUGGCACGGAGUUAGCCGAUCCUUAUUCAUAUGGUACAUACAAAAAUCCACACGUGGACCACUUUAUUCCCAUAUAAAAGAAGUUUACAACCCAUAGGGCAGUCAUCCUUCACGCUACUUGGCUGGUUCAGACUCCCGUCCAUUGACCAAUAUUCCUCACUGCUGCCUCCCGUAGGAGUUUGGACCGUGUCUCAGUUCCAAUGUGGGGGACCUUCCUCUCAGAACCCCUAUCCAUCGAAGGUUUGGUGAGCCGUUACCUCACCAACUGCCUAAUGGAACGCAUCCC
rnacentral:rRNA from 1 species